rnacentral:rRNA from 1 species
CAGCAGCCGCGGGAAAACGAAGGGUGCAAGCGUUAAUCGGAAUUACUGGGCGUAAAGCGCGCGUAGGUGGUUUGUUAAGAUGGAUGUGAAAUCCCCGGGCUCAACCUGGGAACUGCAUCCAUAACUGCCUGACUAGAGUACGGUAGAGGGUGGUGGAAUUUCCUGUGUAGCGGUGAAAUGCGUAGAUAUAGGAAGGAACACCAGUGGCGAAGGCGACCACCUGGACUGAUACUGACACUGAGGUGCGAAAGCGUGGGGAGCAAACAGGAUUAGAUACCCGCGUAGUCCCUGUCUCUUAUAA